GCUUGGGUGGUGUAGUUGGUUAUCACGCUAGUUUCACACAGUAGAGGUCCCCGGUUCGAAUCCGCUCUCAGACA
rfam:Nelumbo nucifera unplaced genomic scaffold scaffold00057, whole genome shotgun sequence